GCGGGGAUGGGAGGCUCGGGGUGUCCGGCACCGCUGGAGCCGGUGCCGGUGCCGGCUCUGACCCGGUUCGGGCA